rnacentral:rRNA from 1 species
GAUGAACGCUGGCGGCGUGCCUAAUACAUGCAAGUCGAGCGAACAGACGAGGAGCUUGCUCCUCUGACGUUAGCGGCGGACGGGUGAGUAACACGUGGAUAACCUACCUAUAAGACUGGGAUAACUUCGGGAAACCGGAGCUAAUACCGGAUAAUAUAUUGAACCGCAUGGUUCAAUAGUGAAAGACGGUUUUGCUGUCACUUAUAGAUGGAUCCGCGCCGCAUUAGCUAGUUGGUAAGGUAACGGCUUACCAAGGCAACGAUGCGUAGCCGACCUGAGAGGGUGAUCGGCCACACUGGAACUGAGACACGGCCCAGACUCCUACGGGAGGCAGCAGUAGGGAAUCUUCCGCGAUGGGCGAAAGCCUGACGGAGCAACGCCGCGUGAGUGAUGAAGGUCUUCGGAUCGUAAAACUCUGUUAUUAGGGAAGAACAAAUGUGUAAGUAACUAUGCACGUCUUGACGGUACCUAAUCAGAAAGCCACGGCUAACUACGUG